rnacentral:rRNA from 1 species
UCAGCUCGUGUCGUGAGAUGUUGGGUUAAGUCCCGCAACGAGCGCAACCCUCGCCCUUAGUUGCCAGCAUUCAGUUGGGCACUCUAGGGGGACUGCCGGUGAUAAGCCGAGAGGAAGGUGGGGAUGACGUCAAGUCCUCAUGGCCCUUACGGGCUGGGCUACACACGUGCUACAAUGGUGGUGACAAUGGGCAGCGAAACCGCAAGGUGGAGCUAAUCUCCAAAAGCCAUCUCAGUUCGGAUUGCACUCUGA